rnacentral:rRNA from 1 species
AAAAACAUAGCCUUAAGAAAUGAUUUAAGGUAAGCCCUGCCCAGUGGAUAUAUUCUUAACGGCCGCAGUACCUUGACUGUGCUAAGGUAGCGUAAUCAGUUGGCUUUUAAAUGGAGUCCAGAAUGAACGGGGCCAUGGGGAGAGACUGUCUUCUUUCUUGAUUAAUUUAACUUGCUUAAUAGGUGAAAAUACCUUUUUAAAGAAAAAAGACGAGAAGACCCUUAGAGCCUAACAAUAUAAUAUAAUUUAUUUGUUUUUGUUGGGGCGACAAGAAGAUAGACAAAAUUAAACUCUUCUUUUAUACUAAACGAUUAUAAUAUAAAAGAACAGGCUACCUUAGGGAUAACAGCAUAAUUAUUUUUAGUUUGUGACCUCGAUGUUGGACUAGGAACUUGAUGACUAGUCGUCAAUAAAGGAAAGUUCUGUUCGAACUGCUUUUCCUACGUGAUCUG